rnacentral:lncRNA from 1 species
GAGGAAAUGAGGCACUCUGGCUUUUUCAGUUGUCAGAGUUCUUUCACUGGUUCUUUCUCAUCUUUGUGGGCUGAUGUUCCUUCAAUCUUUGAAGUUGCAGUCUGUUUGAUUUUUUUUUCCUGUAUCCUAUUUGAUGACCUUUGGGAUUUGAUCAUGGUAUAAGCAAUCUAUCUAACAGCCUGUGGAUGAGGUCAAAGGAAAGAGGGAAGAAAGGAGAAAGGGGAGAAGGAAAGAACUUGAGGCUUUGAUGACCGUUGGAAUGCAGAGAAGCUAUGAGAAAAGAGCUACAAGAGAAAAAUGGCAGCAUUGCAAAGUGCAAGAACACUGAAGGGAUUAAACAGCAUUCUAGAAAACAAGACAGACCAUGAAGAGUAUGGGAAGAAACAGGAAGGCCUAUUUCCCGGUACCAUACCCAGAAGCUGUAUAAUAGGGACAACUUGCAGGCUGAGGUGCUCUCUGUGUCCUGACAUGUCAGAUUUGGGAAAUGAGUGAAGCAG